GUUCAAGGCAGGCUGCAAGCAUCACCAUUCGUGGAUUUGUCGGGGUUUCUGUUCUCUCCCGGUUCACUGUGGACAUGACAUGGAUGCUGCCUCUUCACCUCAUAUGCCAUCAUCUUCUAGUAUCCAUGACUGAGGAGAAGCAUGAGAAGCUUCUUUCUGCCUGGGAGCUGCCCAGAUGAGACACAAACCAACAGAAAAUAGCACAUCUCAGAUUUUGACAACUGCAUUCAAAUUUGAAGAACCUUAAAAUGGUAGAAGAUGGCCAUUGAGGAGAGUUGAUAAUGGUAAGUGGUACUUGAGUUUUAAAUCUAGUUAGAGAUACUGUAUUCUGGCCAUAUCAAGAUCUUGGCACGCAGGUGCCAAGUUGGUGCCAAUGUUGGGAUUACUGCCCUGAGCCCCAGUGAAGUAGGCAGCCCUUCUCUCCAAGACAGGCAUUCACCUCUGUCAC